rnacentral:rRNA from 1 species
AUUGAACGCUGGCGGCAGGCCUAACACAUGCAAGUCGAGCGGAGCGGCGGACGGGUGAGUAAUGCCUAGGAAUAUGCCUGGUCGUGGGGGAUAACGUCCGGAAAGGGGAGCUAAUACCGCAUACUAUCAGAUGAGCCUAGGUCGGAUUAGCUAGUUGGUUGGGUAAAGGCCUACCAAGGCGACGAUCCGUAACUGGUCUGAGAGGAUGAUCAGUCACACUGGAACUGAGACACGGUCCAGACUCCUACGGGAGGCAGCAGUGGGGAAUAUUGGACAAUGGGCGAAAGCCUGAUCCAGCCAUGCCGCGUGUGUGAAGAAGGUCUUCGGAUUGUAAAGCACUUUAAGUUGGGAGGCGUUACCAACAGAAUAAGCACCGGCUAACUUCGUGCCAGCAGCCGCGGUAAUAC